AUAACAACAUUCGGACCGUCGGUCUACCGAGCAAUAUCACCCGCUCGGUGGAAGAUCUUCCUUUCGUCGUAUAUC
rnacentral:pre_miRNA from 1 species